rnacentral:rRNA from 1 species
CCGACGGUGAGAGGCGAAAGCUGGGGGCACGAACCGGAUUAGAUACCCGGGUAGUCCCAGCCGUAAACGAUGCUCGCUAGGUGUCUGGGAUGGUGCGACCGUUUCAGGUGCCGCAGGGAAGCCGUGAAGCGAGCCACCUGGGAGGUACGGCCGCAAGGCUGAAACUUAAAGGAAUUGGCGGGGGAGCACUACAACGGGUGGAGCCUGCGGUUUAAUUGGACUCAACGCCGGAAAACUCACCUGGGGC